rnacentral:rRNA from 1 species
AUGAAUGUCAAGCUGCCAGCUUCUCCAACUCAGUGGUCGGAGCCGGGUUGGACGUCUCAACUCUGCGGAGUUGAGAAGGAGAAUUUUUCUUUUCUUCGGGAGAAUGCCAUAUGUCUAAUUUUAUUGAUACUUUUUCUUUUCUUUCGGGAGAAUGCCAUAUGUCUAAUUUUAUUGAUUUGGCAAUGUCAUUACAUCGUUCAGAAGGUCAUUCACAAGAAAAUCAGGGGGCUCAUCAACUCAAUUAUAGGAAACAUCAUUAUCAUAUGCAAAUUUAGCAAUAUUAGGAGCAGCUCUAUUGCCUUCCCUCAGGCAGUGUAA